UACGUAGGUGGCGAGCGUUGUCCGGAUUUACUGGGCGUAAAGAGCGCGCAGGCGGCUGGUCAAGUCCGAUGUGAAAGCUCCCGGCUUAACUGGGAAAUUGCAUCGGAAACUGAUCGGCUGGAAGGUGGGAGAGGGUAGCGGAAUUCCCGGUGUAGUGGUGAAAUGCGUAGAUAUCGGGAGGAACACCAGUGGCGAAAGCGGCUGCCUGGCCCAAUACUGACACUCAGGUGCGACAGCGUGGGGAGCAAACAGG
rnacentral:rRNA from 1 species